rnacentral:lncRNA from 1 species
AUGGGCGAGGGUGCCCAGGAAGCCCUGGGUGUGAGGAAGGGAAGUGUGGACAUUAGGUUGCACACAGUUCGUCCAGACAACCUCGUAUCUCUGCACCUGGAGAGGACUGAGGGGCCUCACGGUCCAGACUGUGACAAGCCCGCCUCAGUGGGGUGGGAGCUGCGCAGGGCUGGGAGGGUCAUACCAUACAGCCUGCCGUCUCCGAGCCCUGCAGCUGCCCGCCAGCGCCACGGGGCCAAGGUACAACCAGAUCUGGACCUUCGCUGUGCCUCCUCCAGGAACCCCGUGAGUUUGUCCCCUGUGAAGCGUGAGCACAUGAGACUCCUGUGGCUCUGGGGACAGGCUAGCGCCCCAAACCAGCUGCACCUGCUCCAAGCUCACCUCACUAGGGGCCAUCACUGUCGCCGCAGCUGGGGGUCAGGCCCUGGCCCUGGGCCAGACUCUUGCUCGCUAAUCCCUGCUGGAACAGGAGAAUCCUCGGCGGCCCUGGGUCUCCGCUUCCCCAGGGGUAAAGUGAAAGCCAGAUCACACGCCCCUAUUCUGAGACCCACAGGCUGUGUGUUCCCCACGGAGUGGAGGAGCCCAGGGACACAGCCUGGCCACUCCGGGACAGUGCCUGGCUGCCUGGCCCCCAGCAGGACUCGGAGGCAGGAGCCAGGCACAGACAGGUCUCAAGGGCCUGAGGAGGGGCAGUGGCCCUGGUGGCGCCAGGGAACAGCCAGCACUGCAGGUGAGGGAUGCCUGUCCCAGUCCGCAGCUCCUGCUCUGCAAUCCAGGACCCACAGGGACGGUGCCCAGCGCCCUCAGGCCCAGGGCUUCGGGCACAGCAUGUGCGUCGGGGGUGGCUGCACUGUGAGGGACAGACACUCACAGGGACAGAUGCACAGAAGUGUGUGGAGCUCCCAUCCCCAGCUGAGCACCGGUCGGAGCCUCUGCAGACGCUGUCCUGGAAACACGAAUGUACUCCGGCAGCAAGGAGAAGCUGGGACACCAGUCGCUGGCACAGUCUCAAGGUCCUGAAGUUUCUUCCCCUCUGGGAGUGGAAGUGCAAUGCCCCAUGAUCACCAACAGGGGCAGUGGUGGACACCACGCAGCCCCUGAAAGCCACGCGAUUCUCACAACUUGGACCAGAAGUUGAACCAGGUUGACAGUGCCUGCAGAGCCUGCAGGGCCCUACACAAUUAUCCUCGUCCUCAGGCUACCUGGUGAGGAGCCAGGCUGAGGCACUCGGAGAGGUGACCGGAGUGAGAGGAGUCGGACAACACCCUGGUCCCUCCUGGGCAGAGUACUGCAGGCCAUGUGUGUCUCCGGGCCCAGUGCUGCGCAGGGGCCGGGGUACCCAGUGACAGGACAGGUAUGUGGACAGGGACCUCGGAGGCCAGACACCUAGGUCCCCUUGUGAGGGGGGCAGAGUGUGGGUCUCCACACAGGGCCCACCUGCUGGGUGACCUUCGCCCACUGCCCUGAGGCACAUGGGGGUGCUAUCAGACGCGCAGCGCACUGCAGCCCUGCAGGCGGCACCGCCCCUCCCGCCUGUGACCAGCUCCACGUCAGGCUCACACCAACCUGGAGGUGCGGCCACGUCCCCGAC